AGACUUUUUUCUCCAAGGGUCUUAUCCGUAGUAGUCCUACCAGUGAUUAGCUCCAGCAGAAUUACGCCGAAGGAAUAUACAUCACUCUUGGUCGAUACUCUCCCUUUUUCUGCAUAUUCUGGGGCUAAAUAUCCAAAUGUUCCGACAAUUUUGUUCUUUGAUAGCUGAUGGGGACUGUCCUGUUGAGUUCUUGCCAGCCCGAAAUCACCUAGCUGUAGUGUUGAGCAAAGAAGGAAAGCAGUUUAUUUUCAAGUAAAGUUUUGGGCUUUGCGAAGGAAGAGUAGCUCACUUGAGGGGGAAAUAUCCAGACUGAACAGAUCUUCGUCAUCAAGAGUCUCGUGCACUAUCAAAGUCUUUCCUUGAUUGGCUUCUUGUCCAGAUGAUAUCGACGCUUUUUCUACUGGAGAAACUUAAAAAAAAAAGUGUAGAAAUGGAAAUUAGGAUCAUAUAUGAUAUGGACUAUGGUGAUGAUACUGAAGCAGCACGGGUCAAGGAACGAACUACCUGCAGAAACUAUCCAAGCCAUGAACAGACAAAGAUCCAAAUUAAAGGCAUUAUUCAAGAUUUGCCUUGGCAUCCAAUAGAGCAGUUCCUUGUGUAUAUAGACGUGUAUUUUAAUUGUCUUGUAGAUUGCUCUCGUCUGCUGCAUAUGCGUAUGAU